AUGCACCAGAUACGGACACGACUGUCCUCAGCCCAGUGCAUCCUGGUGCCUGAGUUCUGUGACUGUUGGGUUAUAAGAAAGGGUCCACAGAAACAUCAGCCCUGAUAUUUAAGCUCAUGAGUGCACUCUUGAGUUAUGGCUCAGAGGCACAGGG
rfam:Salmo salar isolate Sally breed double haploid chromosome ssa05, whole genome shotgun sequence.